UACAUGAUUCCACGCUGCCAAGAAAAGCGUCUAGAGAGAGAAGUAGUGCCCGUACCGCAAACCGACACAGGUAGGUGAGGAGAGAAUCCUAAGGCCGGCGGAAGAAUUACAGUUAAGGAACUCGGCAAAUUGACCCCGUAAGUUCGCGAGAAGGGGUGCCUACGAGAGUAGGCCGCAGAGAAUAGGCCCAAGCAACUGUUUAGCAAAAACACAGGUCUCUGCUAAAGCGUAAGCUGAUGUAUAGGGGCUGACGCCUGCCCGGUGCUGGAAGGUUAAGGGGAACACUUAGCGCAAGCGAAGGUGUGAACUUAAGCCCCAGUAAACGGCGGCCGUAACUAUAACGGUCCUAAGGUAGCGAAAUUCCUUGUCAGGUAAGUUCUGACCCGCACGAAUGGCGUAAUGACUUGGGCACUGUCUCAACUGUAAAUCCGGCGAAGUUGUAGUGCGAGUGAAGAUGCUCGCUACCCGCGAUUGGACGGAAAGACCCCGUAGAGCUUUACUGUAGCUUAGCAUUGAGUUUUGGUAUUGUCUGUACAGGAUAGGUGGGAGACUAGGAAACCAGGGCGUCAGCCUUGGUGGAGUCAACCUUGGGAUACCACCCUGACAGUACUGAAAUUCUAACUGGCGGCCAUGAAUCUGGUCACAGGACAUUGUUAGGUGGGCAGUUUGACUGGGGCGGUCGCCUCCUAAAAAGUAACGGAGGCGCCCAAAGGUUCCCUCAGAACGGUCGGAAAUCGUUCGAAGAGUGCAAAGGCAGAAGGGAGCCUGACUGCGACACCCACAAGUGGAGCAGGGACGAAAGUCGGGCUUAGUGAUCCGGUGGUACCUCGUGGGAGGGCCAUCGCUCAACGGAUAAAAGCUACCUCGGGGAUAACAGGCUGAUCUCCCCCAAGAGUCCACAUCGACGGGGAGGUUUGGCACCUCGAUGUCGGCUCGUCGCAUCCUGGGGCUGAAGUAGGUCCCAAGGGUUGGGCUGUUCGCCCAUUAAAGCGGCACGCGAGCUGGGUUCAGAACGUCGUGAGACAGUUCGGUCCCUAUCCGUCGCGGGCGUAGGAAAUUUGAGAGGAGCUGUCCUUAGUACGAGAGGACCGGGAUGGACUGACCUCUGGUGUACCAGUUGUUCCGCCAGGAGCACAGCUGGGUAGCUAAGUCGGGAAUGGAUAAACGCUGAAAGCAUCUAAGCGUGAAGCCAACCUCAAGAUGAGAUUUCCCAUAGCGUAAGCUAGUAAGAUCCCUUGAAGAACACAAGGUUGAUAGGUCGGGGGUGUAAGCAUGGUAACAUGUUCAGCUGACCGAUACUAAUAGAUCGAGGGCUUGACCA
rnacentral:rRNA from 1 species